GAUGAACGCUAGCGAUAGGCUUAACACAUGCAAGUCGAGGGGCAGCACAAGGUAGCUUGCUAUCUGGGUGGCGACCGGCGCCCGGGUGCGUAACGCGUAUGCAACUUGCCCUAUACAGGAGGAUAACCCGUCGAAAGACGGGCUAAUACUGCGUAUGCUCACAACUUGGCAUCAAGUGGUGAGGAAAGAAAUUCGGUAUAGGAUAGGCAUGCGUCCCAUUAGCUUGUUGGUGAGGUAACGGCUCACCAAGGCAACGAUGGGUAGGGGAACUGAGAGGUUUAUCCCCCACACUGGUACUGAGACACGGACCAGACUCCUACGGGAGGCAGCAGUGAGGAAUAUUGGUCAAUGGGCGCGAGCCUGAACCAGCCAAGUCGCGUGAAGGAUGACUGUCUUAUGGAUUGUAAACUUCUUUUAUACGGGAAUAACAAGAGUCACGUGUGACUCCCUGCAUGUACCGUAUGAAUAAGCAUCGGCUAACUCCGUG
rnacentral:rRNA from 1 species